CCUCUUUCUUCAAACCGCGGCCUGACAGAUUGAGCUGCAACGCGGACGUGGCCGCUCGUAAAAUCGGAUACAUUGUGCGGCCGGCCAUGGCGUAUUCGUCAUGUCUACGACCGAAGACACGCGAUCAACUAAAGGAUUGACCCCGCAGAACGUCCACGAAACCUCUCCCACACACCCGUACCUAACGCGGCAGUUCCACGAAGCAUCGAUUCACCGGACGUUCAUACAUAAAUGCGAAUGCAAUAUGAAGUCUGCAGUUCGCUAAUGAGCGUGGCAAGAGGAAAAGGGAGAGCACGUGAACAUCGGAGGGCGAGUCUGUAAAAAAGGGAGAGGCGGAGGGAGGGCAGAAAGAUUCGCAUGGAGGAGCGAUAACGAAUUCUGCAGGAUGAGUGAUAGCUUCCGUAUCGAGAAAGGAUGUCGCGUAUGCGUGGGUGGACAACGUAGACGAGGCCAUGGACAUAUUUUCUUUAUCGCCCCUGUUGCGGAUUUAGACGGCACGAACCAGGAAACGCGACUGUCUAGAAUUAUCGAUCACGUUUCGUCGAUUAUAAAUGAGCAGAGAUCCCGCGUUACGGGCUCCGUCAGGUGAACGAAGAUUAACACGUUGCUAAUGAGAAUUUCUUCGGCGACAUUUCCUGCAGGAAGACGAAACACGUAAGGUUUUACCUUAUUUUACUAUAACAACGUUUACACUUUACUUGAACUGGUAGAACAUUAGACGACUAUUUACUUGAUAAUGAACUAUAUAAUUAAUAUUAUUUCAAUAAUGGCAAGUUUGCUACAGGUGUUACACAUGAAUAUUCCCGGUGUCCCUGUCAUUCCCUUUUUUGUGUUCUUUAUUCGAAGUUCGAAUUAUAUCGAUAUCAAAAUAUGAACUUCCCGUCUAUCUUGAACAUAUGACGCCCUGGGAAACCAUUUACCCAACCUGUGCCUGUUAAGCCGUGUAUAGCUGGCCUUUGA